UAUUUUCUUUAUUCCAAAAAUACCCUACACCUUAACAAUCUUCCUUUUUUCUUUAAAAAAAAUAAAUAAACAAUACCUGUUUCAUCUUACUUAAUGGGGAGUGUUUCAUCUUACUUAAUGGGCUUAAUUAAUGGAAGAGUGUUUCAUGCGUCUUCAACACCUCCAAACUUUACUAAAAUACCUGUUUAGCCCCUAAUUAGAAUGUGGAUUAACUUUUGUUGAAAUAGUUAAGAAUAGUCAUGAAUUCUUUUUGAGUUUCAGAUUCUUUUUUCAGGUUUGUGUGUGUCAGAUGUCAUUUGCUCACAGCACCACUCACAUUUGCUUUCCUUUCUCUCUUCUCUCUCGCACAGCAGCUUGGUCUCCUUUCUCUCGCACAGCACCACCAUUUGCUGUCCUUUCACUCGCACAACACUCACGAACUCACAAAAGAUCUCAAGCUCUUUCUUCUCGCACAACAUCACGCAAACAGAGGCACGACUUCCUUUUCAUCUUCGUUGGUGCAUCCCACCCGUCUCCUUCCUCCAUUUUUGCUUUUCGUUUUCUUAAAUUUUUUUUCGUGUUUUCCAUGAUUGUUGAUUGAUAUGUACAUUGAAUGAUUAGAAGGUGAUUGAAGUGUUUGAUCUGUA